GUCGUAACAAGGUUUCCGUAGGUGAACCUGCGGAAAGAUCAUUCGCACAAUGUCCAAACACUUCCAUGUGAAUUCCUAUGCGAGCGUCUGCGCGCGGAUUCUGUCCUCGCGCUGGUGCUCGCGGGUAGUGGGGCGAGGCUCCGAUGUGCGGUUUCUCGUUCCUGCUACCGCCACCUCCUUCGGGGGGUGUCCGCAUUGCGAUUUUUGACCGCAAUUUCUUUCUCGCGCCGUGAGCCAUUUCAACUCACAACUUUCAGCGAUUCGAACAACGAUGAAGGGCGCAGCGAAGUGCGAUAAGCAUCGUGAAUUGCAGGUUUCCGUGAGCUGGCAGGAACUUGAACGCAUAUUGUGCUUCUGGGAUAUCCCCGAAAGCAUGCCUUCUUCAAUGUCUGUGCUUUGUCGUUCCAGCGGUCGGCGCUCCAUGCGGGGCACGCUGCUGCGAUUGCUCGUGUCUCAAGAUGUGCAUUGUUGGCGCUCCUGAGGCAUUUGAUUGAAAAGGCUUCGCUUCGACUGCCAGCUCAUUGAGCAUCCCAUAUGCACUCUAAGCUGUGUUGUCGGCGCGUGCGCUUUGCAAUCCUACGCUUGGGCCCAGCCUAAGCUCUCAAGACAUGAAGUGAGGUCGGCAAACCCGCUGAAUUUAAGCGUAUAAGUAAGCGGAGGAUAAGAAACUAAAUAGGAAUCCUUAGUAAUGGCGGAUGAACAGGGAUGAGCUCAACAUGGAAAUCAAAGCUUCUGGCUUUGAAUUGUAAUCUCGAGAUGUAUUGCUCACGGGGGCGCAGGUGUAAUCCUCUUGGAAAAGAAACUCAGAGAGGGUGAGAGACCCGUCUGUCAACUGCAGUCCUCCGUGUACGGCAUGCUUUCUAAGAGUCACGUUCCUCGGGAUUGGAGCGCAAAUUGGGUGGUAAAUUUCAUCUGAAGCUAAAUAUGGGUUCGAAACCGAUAGCAAACAAGUACCAUGAGGGAAAGACGAAAAGGACUUUGAAAAGAAAGUUAAAAGUGCCUGAACUUGCUGAAAGGAAAGCGGAUGGAACCAAUCUUACUCGGCAAGAUUGUCGUAUGCUUCAGUGAUUGCCUCCUGUAUUAACGCAAGUGGUGCAUGAGGUUACGAUCUGGCUGUGUGCGAUAUUUCUUGCCUUGUAUGUCAUUGCCAGUGUGUUGGUGGGGAUAACUCCAGGGGCAUGGUCGUUCGCCUGCGGGUGCUCGAAUAUUCCUGGUAGGAAUGAAAGCGAUUACUGAAAUUUUUGCAUCAACAGCCGACCGAUCAAUUGGGAGAGGUUUGAGCAUGAGUGUUAGGACCCGAAAGAUGGUGAACUAUGCGUGA
rnacentral:rRNA from 1 species